rnacentral:rRNA from 1 species
UACGUAGGUGGCAAGCGUUGUCCGGAAUUACUGGGUGUAAAGGGAGCGCAGGCGGGAAGCCAAGUCAGCUGUGAAAACUACGGGCUUAACUUGUAGACUGCAGUUGAAACUGCUUUUCUUGAGUGAAGUAGAGGUUGGCGGAAUUCCGAGUGUAGCGGUGAAAUGCGUAGAUAUUCGGAGGAACACCGGUGGCGAAGGCGGCCAACUGGGCUUUAACUGACGCUGAGGCUCGAAAGUGUGGGGAGCAAACGGG